rnacentral:rRNA from 1 species
AGGGCACCACCAGGAGUGGAGCCUGCGGCUUAAUUUGACUCAACACGGGAAAACUCACCCGGCCCGGACACUGGAAGGAUUGACAGAUUGAGAGCUCUUUCUUGAUUCAGUGGGUGGUGGUGCAUGGCCGUUCUUAGUUGGUGGAGUGAUUUGUCUGGUUAAUUCCGAUAACGAACGAGACUCUAGCCUAUUAAAUAGAUCGUUGGCUUACAAACGCCGGCGAGACUUCUUAGAGGGACAGGCGGCGAUUCAGCCGCACGAAGCAGGGCAAUAACAGGUCUGUGAUGCCCUUAGAUGUCCGGGGCCGCACGCGCGCUACACUGAAGUGAUCAGCGUGCAUUUUGAAACCUACUCUGUCAAGAGUGGGGAACCCAAUGAACCUUCUUCGUGAUUGGGAUAGGGGAUUGUAAUUAUUCCCCUUGAACGAGGAAUCCCCAGUAAGCGCGAAUCAUAAGUUUGCGCUGAUUACGUCCCUGCCCUUUGUACACACCGCCCGUCGCUACUACCGAUUGAAUGUUU